rnacentral:lncRNA from 1 species
ACAAUUGAGCCCCCAGCCCUUGAACACACGCACACACGCACACACGCUGAGCUACCGCCAAUGCUUGAGCCCCCAGCCCUUACACACACCCAUACACGUGCACAAACACACACACACGCUGAACCAACUUCAACACUUGAGCCCCCAGCCCCUAGAGAGAGACACACACACACACGCUGAUGCGGGAGCAUUUAGCACAGUUUCCUUGCUGAAAAAGCAGGACCUCGGUUUAGAAAAUGGAAAUUGCCCAGGAGGAAAAGAGAGCUGAGAUAUAUGCAGCCCCAGGUGCCUCCUUCUAAUUCAUCUUCACCAUUGUGGUUGUCAAUAUGGCAUGCAGAAUUAUCCCUCUUUCCAGGUUUUCCCCAAGGACCCUGGACAAUGCUGGUUUUUCCUAUGUGCACCACCAAAGGGCCUAUCCAGCUUCUGGAGUCUACCUGGAUUCCUGGGCUCAUGGCCCCUUCCUCCAUCUUCAAACCAGCAAUGGAAAUGGAAAUGAAAGCAAAAUGGAAGGACGUGAGGUCCUUAUCCUUGGAGAUCCUAUGGAGUCUCCACAGACAUUCCUUGAAGAAAUCAGAUGGAGCUGAGCCUGACACUCUAACCGGUUCUCUGGGUGUACUGCAAAGGUCUAAUAAAAGGCACCUUUGCCCGGUUGCUUCAAUUCUAGGAAGCUGUUCAAUGUUUGACUAUAUUUCUCCAUACUCAUUUGAAAACAGUUCAUCAGGUUAGUUCAGUUGAAUUAUUGCUCCUUGGGAGUUUUCCAAACCCUGGAUUUCCUUCGGAGAGAGCUAGAUUCUAUUCCAUUCUUGGAAUUCAGCUCCUUGCCCUUCUCUGUGACCCCGGAUCGCGAAUGCAGUAAAAAUAAAAAUAUCCUGCUGCCUCCUGCACUAA